rnacentral:lncRNA from 1 species
AGGUACGUAGUUUGUGGGAGACCACCUUCGUGGCACCCACUCACCCCAACCAGUAUUGGCCUCAGCUUGAGGCACAUCUGUUUCAGGUGCAUCCUGCAUUUCUUCAUCAGGCUGUUCUUCAGCAACAUGGAUGCGUUCCGAAGGCACGUCAAAGUUGUAAAUUCUGGUUUUGGAUUUUCUUUCGAAGAAAUAGAAGCAUUUGCGGUCUUUGUCCCACCUAUAUCCCAUAUG